ACCUGACAGCCAAGCCACGCCCCUCGCCACCCCGAAGCUCCGCCCCUGGGGGAGACGCCCACCCUCUGGUGCGAGCUCACUGGCUAUCUCGCCUGACUGUCCCGUGGAGGGGCGGAGCCUCGCCUCCAGUCCUCUUCCACGGCCGCCUCUGUUUAUCCGCUUGCCAUUGGCCCCAGGGACUGCCAGUCGGCUCUAGGGAUGGACUCUAACUUGAGGUCUCAUCCUAACAUUGCAUCUAUUGGCAGAUAGAAAGUUGCUUCCUCCUGAUUGGACAAGGCUCUGUCAGUAAGACUAAGGAAAAAACCAAUGGAAGGGAUGGGGUGUGUCUUGCCCCACCCUUGCUCUGAGCAGCUCUGAAAAAUAGUUAGGAUGAGAAAACGACCCUCAUUGUAAAGAUGAAGAAACCGAAGUUCAGAGAAGUCACAAAACUACAAAGUGGCACACCCCAAGCUAGAACCUCCUUCCUCUCAUUUGAAGGACCACCAAACCAGCUGUUCCCCUCAUGGAAGAGGAGCAUAGACAUAAAAUGUCAAGGCAGUGGGGAAGGGGCAGAGAAAAGGCACAAACACUUGGAGGAGAGACAGAACAAUUAAUUGGCACAAAAAUACAGUAUUGGUGUCAGGAGGCUUUGGUGGGCUUGGAAACAUCAAGCAGCAGAUCUGAAGGAAAUCCAGCCCUGGCAUGAAAGAAACGGGGCAGGCCAGGCGCAGUGGCUCACUCCUGUAAUCUCAGCAUUUUGGGAGGCAAAGGCGGGUGGAUCACCUGAGGUCGGGAGUUCAACACCAGCCUGGCCAAUAUGGUGAAGCCCCAUCUCUACAAAAAAUACAAAAAGUUAGCCGAGCGUGGUGGCGGGCAACUAUAAUCCCAGCUGCUUGGGAGACUGAGGCAGGAGAAUUGCUUGAACCCGGGAGGCGGAAGUUGCAGUAAGCCGAGACCAUGUCACUGCACUCCAGCCUGGGCAUGACAGAGCGAGACUCCAUCUCAAACAAAAAAAAAAAGAAAAGAAAAAAAUAAACCGGGCAGCACACCCCUCUGCGAUAGGAGAGCCUGGGGUAGAGAUCAGAAAGAACUUCUUGGCCGGGCGUGGUGGCUCAUGCCUGUAAUCCCAGCAGUUUGGGAGGCCAAGGUGGGCAGAUCACUUCAGGUCAGGAGUUCGAGACCAGCCUGGCUGACAUGGUGAAACCCCAUCUCUACUAAAAAUACAGAAAUUAGCCAGGCAUGGCAGCGGGCACCUGUAAUGCCAGCUACUCGGGAGGCUGAGGCAGGAGAAUGGCGUGAACACGGGAGGCAGAGGUUGCAGUGAGCUGAGAUCAUGCCAUUGCACUCCAGCCUGGGUGACAGAGUGAGACUCUGUCUCAAAAAAAUAAAAAUGACUUCUCACAGGCA